UUAUCGGAAUGAGAACAAUUCAAAUCCUUUAACGAGGAUCUAGCGGAGGGCAAGUCUGGUGCCAGCAGCCGCGGUAAUUCCAGCUCCGCAGGUGUAUAUCUAUGCUGCUGCGGUUAAAAAGCUCGUAGUUGGAUCUGCGUGCUCGGAACUGGUUGGCUCACUGAGUUCAAACUGGUCUCCGGCGCUUUAUUGGCUGGUUUUCCCUUGAUGCUCUUAACCGGGUGUCUUGGGUGGCUAGCACGUUUACUUUGAAAAAAUUAGAGUGCUCAAUACAGGCGUAAAGCCUUGAAUAGUGGUGCAUGGAAUAAUAGAAUAGGACCUCGGCUCUAUUUUGUUGGUUUUCGGAACGCGAGGUAAUGAUUAAGAGGGACAGACGGGGGCAUUCGUAUUGCGACGUUAGAGGUGAAAUUCUUGGAUCGUCGCAAGACGGACGACUGCGAAAGCAUUCGCCAAGAAUGUUUUCAUUAAUCAAGAACGAAAGUUAGAGGUUCGAAGGCGAUCAGAUACCGCCCUAGUUCUAACCGUAAACGAUGCCAACUAGCGAUUCGCAGGCGUUAAACAACGACCUUGCGGGCAGCUUCCCGGAAACGAAAGUGUUCGGGUUCCGGGGGAAGUAUGGUUGCAAAGCUGAAACUUAAAGGAAUUGACGGAAGGGCACCACCAGGAGUGGAGCCUGCGGCUUAAUUUGACCCAACACGGGAAAACUCACCCGGCCCGGACACCGUAAGGAUUGACAGAUUGAGAGCUCUUUCUUGAUUCGGUGGGUGGUGGUGCAUGGCCGUUCUUAGUUGGUGGAGCGAUUUGUCUGGUUUAUUCCGAUAACGAACGAGACUCUGGCCUACUAAAUAGUGGGCGGAUUCUUUCUGUCCGCAACACUUCUUAGAGGGACAAGCGGUGUUCAGCCGCACGAGAUUGAGCAAUAACAGGUCUGUGACCCCUUAGAUGUCCGGGGCUGCACGCGCGCUACACUGAAGGAAUCAGCGUGCUUUCUGACCUUGCCCGAAAGGGCUGGGUAACCCGAUGAAAAUCCUUCGUGAUUGGGAUAGGGACUUGCAAUUAUUUCCCUUGAACGAGGAAUUCCCAGUAAGUGUGGGUCAUAAGCUCGCGUUGAUUACGUCCCUGCCCUUUGUACACACCGCCCGUCGCUGCCCGGAACUGAGCCGUUUCGAGAAGAACAGGGACCGUCGUUGAAGGGCCUUAACGGGCUUUUCUCUGAUAGAAACUGUU
rnacentral:rRNA from 1 species